rnacentral:rRNA from 1 species
GAUGAACGCUGGCGGCGUGCCUAAUACAUGCAAGUCGAGCGAACGGACGAGAAGCUUGCUUCUCUGAUGUUAGCGGCGGACGGGUGAGUAACACGUGGAUAACCUACAUAUAAGACUGGGAUAACUUCGGGAAACCGGAGCUAAUACCGGAUAAUAUUUUGAACCGCAUGGUUCAAAAGUGAAAGACGGUCUUGCUGUCACUUAUAGAUGGAUCCGCGCUGCAUUAGCUAGUUGGUAAGGUAACGGCUUACCAAGGCAACGAUGCAUAGCCGACCUGAGAGGGUGAUCGGCCACACUGGAACUGAGACACGGUCCAGACUCCUACGGGAGGCAGCAGUAGGGAAUCUUCCGCAAAGGGCGAAAGCCUGACGGAGCAACGCCGCGUGAGUGAUGAAGGUCUUCGGAUCGUAAAACUCUGUUAUUAGGGAAGAACAUAUGUGUAAGUAACUGUGCACAUCUUGACGGUACCUAAUCAGAAAGCCACGGCUAACUACGUG